CCAAAAGAUAUUUUAGUUACUAGAUAAAGAUUGUCGCUACUGUUCCCUUUGUUCUGCUGUCCGAAACAUGUGUGGUACAUACCUGUCAAAUCGUAUGGAUUUUCCUUCUUUGACAUUUAGCUCCCCUAUCCUCGCCAGCAAAAGAUGUUCCGGACAGCGACGACAGCGACAAUCUUUAUCUAGUAACUAAAAUAUCUUUUGUUUCGCCUAAUGGCAAAAAAAGUAUAAAGUUGAACUUAUACUUUCAAUAAGGAAUGAAACUGAACUGAUAAAGACAAACAUGGCGAUUGAAAGUUGUGAAAAGGAGAUCGUGUUGAUUUUGGGAAACUUUCACUGUGGGAUUCGUUCAAAUGUGUAUGCAAGCACAAACCAAUAAAAAAAGUGGAUCCGAUUCAGUUUUUGGUCGGUUUGCAAAACUAUGAGCAUGAAUAGUUAGCACAAUCUGAUAUUUUUCAAAUGUGUCGUGAUUAUAUACCGAAGAAUAGGAAGCAGUUCAAGCAUAAUCCAUCAGGAAAUAAUGUCGUUUGUUACAGACACCAACUUCAGCGGAUCAUUUUGCUCUGCAAAUCCUGUUGUAUACAUCGGACCUAAUCGGCAGCUCUGAUGUCGCUGAGAUCUAAUUAUUACUGACGGAAUUGGACAGUAGCAGUAUAUACCGGUAGAAGCAG